ensembl:ncRNA C44E12.7 ncRNA
AGGAAUCCGCGCGUCUGGAACGAUGAAUAACAAGCCUCUGGGGGAAUAUAGAGUGCGACAAGUGAGCGAGACGAUUGUGUCUUUUUCCUCUCAGUCUUCUCUCACUUCAUAAUAAACGUCAGAGAUUGAUAUCUGAACUUUUUU